AGGAACAGUGCUCGAAGGUACAAUAGGAGUUGCCCUGUGGUAGUUCAGAUCAGCAAAAUGAAAAGUGUUGCAAGGAAUACAUUUCUUUGGAGAAAAGAUGGCUUCUUUACUGUUGUCAUUUAUCAUCAUCACAUAACCUGUCAGGUGUUCACUUCUCAGUGGGCCAAACUCAUUGCCAGUCUGUGCUUGCAGAUAAAGGAAGCACCUAUUUCAACCAAAUUAUG